rnacentral:rRNA from 1 species
GACGAACGCUGGCGGCGUGCUUAACACAUGCAAGUCGAACGGAAAGGCCCCUUUGGGGGUACUCGAGUGGCGAACGGGUGAGUAACACGUGAGUAACCUGCCCUUGACUUCGGGAUAACUUCAGGAAACUGGGGCUAAUACCGGAUAGGAAUCCUUGCUGCAUGGUGGGGGUUGGAAAGCUUCGGCGGUUUUGGAUGGACUCGCGGCUUAUCAGCUUGUUGGUGGGGUAGUGGCUUACCAAGGCUUUGACGGGUAGCCGGCCUGAGAGGGCGACCGGCCACAUUGGGACUGAGAUACGGCCCAGACUCCUACGGGAGGCAGCAGUGGGGAAUAUUGCACAAUGGGCGGAAGCCUGAUGCAGCAACGCCGCGUGCGGGAUGACGGCCGUCGGGUUGUAAACCGCUUUCAGCAGGGGCGAAGCUUGUGGUGACGGUACCUGCAGAAGAAGCACCGGCUAACUACGUG